GAUGAACGCUGGCGGCGUGCCUAAUACAUGCAAGUCGAGCGAACGGAGGAGACGUGUUCUUCUCUUCUGUUAGGGGCGGACGGGUGAUGAACAGGUGGAUACCCGACAUAUAAGAAUGGGAUAACUUCGGGGAACCGGAUCCAGCACAGGAUAAUAUGGAGAAAGGGAUGGUUCAACAGAGAACGCCGUUCUUGCUGUGACUUAGUGAGGGAUCCUCGCUGCAUUAGCUAGUUGGUAGGGUAACGGCUUACCAAGGCGACGAUGCGUAGCCGACCUGAGAGGGUGAUCAGUCACACUGGAACUGAGACACGGUCCAGACUCCUACGGGAGGCAGCAGUAGGGAAUCUUCCGCAAUGGGCGAAAGCCUGACGGAGCAACGCCGCGUGAGUGAUGAAGGUCUUCGGAUCGUAAAACUCUGUUAGUAGGGAAGAACAUAUGUGUAAGUAACUGUGCACAUCUUGACGGUACCUAAUCAGAAAGCCACGGCUAACUACGUG
rnacentral:rRNA from 1 species